UACGGAGGGUGCGAGCGUUGUCCGGAAUCAUUGGGCGUAAAGGGCGCGUAGGUGGCAGGCCAAGCGUGCGGUGAAAGCUCGGGGCUCAACCCCGGGUCGGCCGUGCGAACUGGCGUGCUGGAGCACUGUAGAGGCAGGCGGAAUUCCGGGUGUAGCGGUGGAAUGCGUAGAGAUCCGGAAGAACACCGGUGGCGAAGGCGGGUCUCUGGGCCGUAACUGACGCUGAGGAGCGAAAGCGUGGGGAGCGAACAGG
rnacentral:rRNA from 1 species